AGGAGAAAAAAAUCUGAUUUGUCA
rnacentral:miRNA from 1 species